GCCCCGAUAGCUCAGCUGGAUAGAGCGUCCCCCUCCUAAGGGGAAGGCCAGAGGUUCGAAUCCUCUUCGGGGCACCA
rnacentral:tRNA from 3 species